UGGGGAAUUUUGGACAAUGGGCGAAAGCCUGAUCCAGCAAUGCCGCGUGUGUGAAGAAGGCCUUCGGGUUGUAAAGCACUUUUGUCCGGAAAGAAAUCCUUGGCUCUAAUACAGUCGGGGGAUGACGGUACCGGAAGAAUAAGCACCGGCUAACUACGUGCCAGCAGCCGCGGUAAUACGUAGGGUGCAAGCGUUAAUCGGAAUUACUGGGCGUAAAGCGUGCGCAGGCGGUUUGCUAAGACCGAUGUGAAAUCCCCGGGCUCAACCUGGGAACUGCAUUGGUGACUGGCAGGCUAGAGUAUGGCAGAGGGAGGUAGAAUUCCACGUGUAGCAGUGAAAUGCGUAGAGAUGUGGAGGAAUACCGAUGGCGAAGGCAGCCCCCCUGGGCCAAUACUGACGCUCAUGCACGAAAGCGUGGGGAGCAAACAGGAUUAGAUACCCUGGUAGUCCACGCCCUAAACGAUGUCAACUAGUUGUUGGGGAUUCAUUUCCUUAGUAACGUAGCUAACGCGUGAAGUUGACCGCCUGGGGAGUACGGUUCGCAAGAUUAAAACUCAAAGGAAUUGACGGGGGUC
rnacentral:rRNA from 1 species